CGGUAGAGAGAAGCUUGCUUCUCUUGAGAGCUGCGGACGGGUGAGUAACGCCUAGGAAUCUGCCUAGUGGUGGGGGAUAACGUUCGGAAACGGACGCUAAUACCGCAUACGUCCUACGGGAGAAAGCGGGGGAUCUUCGGACCUCGCGCCAUUAGAUGAGCCUAGGUCGGAUUAGCUAGUUGGUGAGGUAAUGGCUCACCAAGGCGACGAUCCGUAACUGGUCUGAGAGGAUGAUCAGUCACACUGGAACUGAGACACGGUCCANACUCCUACCCGGAGGCAGCAGUGGGGAAUAUUGGACAAUGGGCGAAAGCCUGAUCCAGCCAUGCCGCGUGUGUG
rnacentral:rRNA from 1 species